GACGAACGCUGGCGGCGUGCUUAACACAUGCAAGUCGAACGGAAAGGCCCUGCUUGCAGGGUACUCGAGUGGCGAACGGGUGAGUAACACGUGGGUGAUCUGCCCUGCACUUCGGGAUAAGCUUGGGAAACUGGGUCUAAUACCGGAUAGGAGCCAUCUUUAGUGUGGUGGUUGGAAAGUUUUUUCGGUGUAGGAUGAGCUCGCGGCCUAUCAGCUUGUUGGUGGGGUAAUGGCCUACCAAGGCGGCGACGGGUAGCCGGCCUGAGAGGGUGUACGGCCACAUUGGGACUGAGGUACGGCCCAGACUCCUACGGGAGGCAGCAGUGGGGAAUAUUGCACAAUGGGCGCAAGCCUGAUGCAGCGACGCCGCGUGGGGGAUGAAGGCCUUCGGGUUGUAAACUCCUUUCGCUAGGGACGAAGCUUUUUGUGGCGGUACCUAGAUAAGAAGCACCGGCUAACUACGUG
rnacentral:rRNA from 1 species